GGCCGGUCUAUGAAGCCUCCAUCAUCAAGCUAGCAGAAAUCCCACCUGUCCUUCUGGCUACAGAGUACUUACCAAGCCCAUGAAAUCGAAUGCAGAUCUUCCUGAUGUGAGAUUUACAUAAAUAUGUCAAAGUCUCAACCUCAUGCUGCCCUCCCCCAUCCUCCUAAACCUGUGGAUACAAAUGCAGAUUUCCUUAAUGUUCAAUGGUGCGUGUUCUUCUAAUGGCCGCCUUCCCACUGGAGGUUUUGAUCCACAGCAAUUUAAAAGGAGGACAGAGCAAAACGGACAUCAGCGCAGAGCGAAGAACUGCCCUUCAUAAGGACACUAUGACAGCCAUAUAUAUGGCGGUAAGGAAGAGGUUUCCCACUGUGUCCAGAAGGGC